AUUGAACGCUGGCGGCAGGCCUAACACAUGCAAGUCGAGCGGAUGAAGGGAGCUUGCUCCUGGAUUCAGCGGCGGACGGGUGAGUAAUGCCUAGGAAUCUGCCUGGUAGUGUUGGCUAACGUCCGGACACGGGCGCUAAUACCGCAUACGUCCUGAGGGCGAACGUGGGGAAUCUUCGGACCUCACGCUCUCAGAUGAGCCUAGGUCGGAUUAGCUAGUUGGUGGGGUAAAGGCCUACCAAGGCGACGAUCCGUAACUGGUCUGAGAGGAUGAUCAGUCACACUGGAACUGAGACACGGUCCAGACUCCUACGGGAGGCAGCAGUGGGGAAUAUUGGACAAUGGGCGAAAGCCUGAUCCAGCCAUGCCGCGUGUGUGAAGAAGGUCUUCGGAUUGUAAAGCACUUUAAGUGGGGAGGAAGGGCAGUAAGUUAAUACCUUGCUGUUUUGACGGUACCAACAGAAUAAGCACCGGCUAACUUCGUG
rnacentral:rRNA from 1 species